UCCUGGUUAGCUCAGUUGGUAGAGCGCUCCACUGGAAAAGGGGAGGUUCAGGGUUCGAUACCGGGACCAGGCG
rnacentral:tRNA from 1 species